rnacentral:misc_RNA from 1 species
CCAAACUUGGUCAUUUAGAGGAAGUAAAAGUCGUAACAAGGUUUCCGUAGUAAGUGUCAACUCACCAAACCUUCAAACGAACUCAAUGCUAACAAAUCUCUAGGGUGAACCUGCGGAAGGAUCAUUACUGAGCAAGGGUUUCAAUUCAAGCCCGACCUCCAAACCUAUGUCUACCUUACCAAUUGUUGCUUCGGCGAGCCCGCUUCGGCCGCCGGAGGGUUCUGCCCUCUGGUCAGUUGCUCGUCGACAGCCCCCAUUCAAACUCUUGUCAAUCAUGUUUGUCUGAAUUCCAAAUCAAAUCAAAUCAAAACUUUCAACAACGGAUCUCUUGGUUCUGGCAUCGAUGAAGAACGCAGC